AUUGAACGCUGGCGGCAUGCUUUACACAUGCAAGUCGAACGGUAACAGGUUAAGCUGACGAGUGGCGAACGGGUGAGUAAUGCAUCGGAACGUGCCCGAUCGUGGGGGAUAACACUUCGAAAGAAGUGCUAAUACCGCAUACGAUCUGAGGAUGAAAGCGGGGGUCCGUAAGGCCUCGCGCGAUCGGAGCGGCCGAUGUCAGAUUAGGUAGUGGGUGGGGUAAAGGCGCACCAAGCCGACGAUCUGUAGCUGGUCUGAGAGGACGACCAGCCACACUGGGACUGAGACACGGCCCAGACUCCUACGGGAGGCAGCAGUGGGGAAUUUUGGACAAUGGGCGCAAGCCUGAUCCAGCAAUGCCGCGUGCAGGAAGAAGGCCUUCGGGUUGUAAACUGCUUUUGUACGGAGCGAAAAGGCUCUCUCUAAUACAGGGGGCUCAUGACGGUACCGUAAGAAUAAGCACCGGCUAACUACGUGCCAGCCGCCGCGGUAA
rnacentral:rRNA from 1 species